GUUUCAGCUGGGAUGGAUUUUUUCUUCAGUGUCUGGUACAAUGCUAUGUUUUUGGUUCUAGGAGAAAAACACUGUUGAUAACACACUGAUAUUUAUAGUUGCUGCUAAGCAGGGCUGUACAGAGCCAAGGCCAUUUGCAGCAUAGGGCCCAAGGAGCUGGGAGGGAACAGAAUCAGGACAGCUGACUUAAACUGGCCAAAGGGAUAUUCCAUACCACAGGACGUCAUGCGGAAGGAGUUCUGAAGGGGGUGGCAGUUCAUCUCUCUCUCUCUUGCAUUGUUCACAGGCACUAGCUGGGCAUUGGGUGGGGGUGGUGAGCAAUUGCUUGUACAUCACUUGCUAUAUACAUUCAUAUAUAUAUAUAUAUAUAUAGUCAUAACUGUUAUCCUUUUCCUUUUCUCUAUCUUAGUGAAUAGUUUUAUCUCAUCUCAUGAGUUCUACUGUUUUUUUUUAACCCCAGUUCUCUCCCUGAUCCCAUAGGGAAGGGUAGAGUGAGCAAAUGACUCUGUGGUGCUGAGCCACCUGCCGGGUUAAACCACAACAACCAGCUGAGCUCAUCCAUAUGGAUGAGUCCUGUGAAGUACCUUUGAGUACCCAUCAGACUCCUUUGUGAAACAGAGGGGCUGAGAGAAGGAGAAGGACAGUGCCUGCUCAGGACAACUGUGAGAUCCCCAAGAAAUGAAAGCCAAAUGAGCAGAAGGAGGACACAGGACUGCAAGAGAGUCUGCAUAGGAAGACAAACUGAACAGACCACCUUCUGCUUUGGGAACCCAUACAGUGGAAUUGAAACAACCUGCAUCCACCAGCAAAGCAGAAAAAAAAUGUUUUCAACCACUGUGGUACAAAGUCAGGAGUUUUGUGCAAUGGAUAAAAAAUUGUGCCUUAAUAUGGAAAAAAAAAAAAAAGAGAGAGAGAAAGAGGUUGUUCCUUCAUGGAGAAAUCAAUUUUGAGGUUAUACCUGGUUUAGCAGUACUCAAGAAAAAAAUAAUCAACCAACCUAUGAGGCAUUACAGAGAGACCAAGCCAGCAGGUAAGGCUGGGCAGAAUGUCCUCAGAAUGUAUAUAUAUAUUAUAUGUAUAACAUCAAAAGCAGCCAGUCAAAUAGGAUUUUACUAACAGCCUGGCAACAUUCCCUUCACAGAUAAUACAGGGAUUGCUUUUUUUAGCAUGUCUCAGGGUGGGAGGCAAACUGCUACGCUGAGGCAAAGAAAUGACCAGACUUAGAAAUCCAGUUCUGGGAGGAAAGUGGAUUGGAGAAGACCUUUACUUCAUUACAAAAACACAGAAAAAAACCCAACAUUUAAAAUGCACACACAGUAAAUAGCAGUAUCCAACAGAACAAACAGCAUGCAAGCUAUUCAGGCCAACUGAAACCAUCAGAUUAUGCUGCCAAUCUAUUUUUUCUUUCCAGUUAUUGACUAUUUUGUCAUUUGUGCAUCCAGAGCUAGCUGGAACCUGGUAUCAGAGGAAUGGUGGAAAAGAAAAGAAAAAGAAGGGGAAAAAAGUGUGUCUGCAUAUAUAAAAAAAAGUAGCUCAGUAGAGCCUUCCAAACAUCCAUUUGAGCUGGAUUCAGAUAAAGGUCCAGAUUAGUCUUCUGUCCUAUUUGGAUCUGUUCACUCACCACGUACCACAAAAGCAUGUGUAUUUUUAUCGAUCACCUCUGUCCACACUGCUAUAUUCUCUUCUUUUUUUUGCUGCAUUGUUGCAUUGAUUUCUUCUGCCCAAAUCACAGUAUUGAUUUUUUCCACCUCUGUUACAUCUCCUAUGCUUCACUCAACCACCCCCUUGAUUAAUAGGCAAAGUGCAAGAUUAAGUGCUCAUCCUACAAGCACUUAUGCAUGUGAAGAGUUUACACACAGGGAUAAAUCUAAGGCCAUUUUUUCUGCUGCAGUAUCUGUGCAUAAAGCUAUACAUGAAAUAUUUUAUCUUAGAAUCACUUCAGUUGGAAAAGACACCUAAGAGAACACAGGGAUUACACGGAAGUAUAUUAUGAGGAUGGUAUACAAUCCUUUGCUGUUAGUCUUCAUUAAGAUAAUGAAAAACAACUAAAAACUCUCAGCUCUUCUACCAAAACGUUACUGAAAGGCAGUUUUAGUUAAAAUUAUUGACACAGAGAUGAAAGUAAGACUUUCUGCCAAGGAUAAGCCAGAUUUCCUAUGGAGGUCGCUUCUUGCAGCUGCAGAAAAGGAAAUAGCCUGAUGCACUGAGUGCAUCCUUGUUUUGUCAUAUAUCCUGCUCUGAAGAUACUGAGGUUGUUGGAAAGACCUCUUCUGAUUCUGGAUGCAGGUACUUUGGAAAUCCUACUUACAAUUGCAGCCAAUGAAUCGGAUAUUAAUGGACAUUUAACAGCUAUGGUCAGAAAUUUUCUGUUUAUAAUUUUUCUGUAGAUACUUAUAUUUUUAAAUUUUUCUUUUUUUUUCCUUACCUCAAAAACCAACAACUCUUAUCAAAAAAAAGACACUUUCCAUGAACCAGCAGUGAUAUUUUUUUUCAUAUUUUCAGUGAGAAGUUGAGGUAUUCUACAGGAAAAAACAUCAUGUUUUUUUUUUUUUCUGAGCAGCUGUUAUGUUUAAUAAAAUUACAUUUAAAAUAAUCUUGCA
rnacentral:lncRNA from 1 species